CUUAGAAGUAAAAAAAAUAACCGUACCCCAAACCGACACAGGUGAACAAGUAGAGUAU
rnacentral:rRNA from 1 species